AUGUGCUUCCAGCAGCGCCUCUCUCGCCCUCCCUCCAUUCCGCUGUGUCACCAGAGGAAGUGCCCCCCGGGCCUGGGCCCCUGCAGGCCGGACAGAGCCGGGUCAUCGCCCAGGCGGCACAGGGCUGUGUGCUGUUCUCAGUGUCCGAGAGGCUUGUGCUGUGGGGCAGAUUCAAACAGCAGCCCUGGCCUGAUCAUCAGCCUGAGCCCAGGACUGACCUGCUACCCCAGGAGAGAGACGGAGAAGGAGACAUGGAGCACGAGGGGAAAGAGGGAACUGCAUGAGAGGGAGAGAAACAAAGACUGAGGGAAAGGAGCUGGCAGAGAGAGAGGGGGGAAGAGACCCCAGCCAGCCCUCCAUCUGUCCCUGUGUUCACGGGACUAAAGCUCUCUCUCUUCCAGACAGAGAGGCUUCUCAACAGCACCCAAACAAAGACAACUUGAACCGCAGAAGAAAAACCUCCUCGCACUAAAAAGGAAACAUUUAUAAAAUAUCUAUAAAAGCAUGGUACCCAAGGCAGUAAUGACAAUAAUUACAGCAAUGACUCACACAACCCUCCACAACACGCCAGACCAGGCUGCACUGACCAGACGCUCGCUGUUCCUCUCCGCUACACUUGUGCCUGGUGUUGUGUCAUGGGGCAUCGGCACAAUUAAAAGGCUGCUCAUUUUAAUAUGGCAGGGCUCUGCAAUAACUCUAAGAUUAAACAAAACAAAUGAGGUUUAAACUCAUGUCUUUCAGGCGCGUGUCAGCCAGGCCCCCCACAGCGCCAAUACAGAUUAACUGUCAGCCUGAUUUGAAUGGCAAAUCUCACCACUCAGCCCUGCAGGAGUCACAGAGAGAGAGACAGGCCUGCUGGCUGUA
rnacentral:lncRNA from 1 species